rnacentral:rRNA from 1 species
GACGAACGCUGGCGGCGUGCUUAACACAUGCAAGUCGAACGGAAAGACCAUGAUCUUGCGGGGUGCUCGAUUGGCGAACGGGUGAGUGACACGUGAGUAACCUGCACUUGACUUUCUGGUAACUUCACGAAACUGGGGCUAAUACCGGGUAUGAGCUCCUGCUGCACGGGGUUGGUUGGAGAGAUUCGGCGGUGGGGGAUGGACUCGCGGGUUAUGCGCUUGUUUGUCGAGUAGUUGUUUACCAAGGCUAUGAAGGCUAGCCGGCCUGGGAGGGUGAACGGCGACAUGGGGACUGAGAGACGGCGCAGAAGCGUACGGGCGGCAGCAGUGGGGAAUAUGGCACAGUGGGCGGGAGUCUGUGGCAGCAAUCCUGGGUGCGUAAUGCCGGCUUUCGGGUUGUAAACAGAUUUCGACUGUGACGAGGAGUGCGUGACGGUAAUGAGUCAAGAAGCACCGGCUAACUACGUG